rnacentral:lncRNA from 1 species
CCCUCUUAGUAACAUGUGCAUGAUUCAACAAAACAUGUUAUGUGUAUGCUUGUGGUUGGUGUUCCUACUAUGGUCUCAAAGUAUGUUAUCCAAAUUAUGUUCCAAGCCCUUAGCACAUAUGCAGAAGGUGUGCAGCUUCGUAUACUUAGUCAAUUCAUAUUUCAACCCUAGGCACAUAUGCAGAAGUUGUGCAGCUUCAAAGACAUAAUAUCAAAUUCACAAAUCCAUNAUAUAUUUAUUCAUGUGAGGAAAUUUUUUUCUCAAUUAUGAUAUAACUAAUAUCAUAUACAAUGCAUCAUAAAAUCAUAUGUGAAUAUUCUACCAAGUAAAAUAUUUAUAUCACAUAGACAUUUUAAUAAAAAUAUAGGGCGAAGAUAGGUUUCUCAAUAAGAGAAUUUAUAAGACUCGAGAAAAUAAUAUCGCCUCCUAUUAAACUCUAAAAAUUUCUUAUCUCAUUUAUUCGCCCACGUGCAUAAUUCCUCUAGCUACUAUUUAAAACUCAAUUUAAAUUCAAGCUAGGGCACAAAUAGCUUCUCAAAACACGGGUUGUUACAAAUAAUUAGGUAAAAUAGGCUAGGAUUACUAAGUACAUCGCUGAUGAGUAUUCCAGUCCUCAUCAGCUACUCCCCCCUGGUCUAGUUGAACAGCGUUCUCUUUGUUCAACUAGGGGUGUGUGGUGUGAAGUCAGCGCUGUGCUGCUCUCCCGUGUCAAUUAAGCAUACACGAUUCCCUGCGACUUAUUAGACAAGAACUGUCAAUCUUUGCAAAAAUGAUAACGACAAAGUAUUUUAAUGCUGGAAAUAAGCUGAGAUAAAAGAGAUAGCAAUUAUUCCUUUUGAUUCGUCGAACAUCAUUAAAGAUAAUAAGGGCUUAGAUAACCUGUGCUGGGAAGACUCAAGUGAUCUGCGUUGACAACCUCGCACCGACUGCGCUGCACCGACUGCGCUGACGACCCCGCGCUGACUGCGCUGACAACCCCGCGCUGACUGCGCUGCACCGACUGCGCUGACAACCCCGCGCUGACUGCGCUGCACUACCUGCACUGACAAAGAUGAUACACUCCCGCAUAGCGGCCCUUAAGAUGGUACAAAGAUGGUACACCCCCGCCGAAGCGGCCCUUAAGAUGGUACACCCCCGCCGAAGCGGCCCUUAAGAUGGUACACCCCCGCCGAAGCGGCCCUCAAGAUGGUACACCCCCGCCGAAGCGGCCCUCAAGAUGGUACACCCCCGCCGAAGCGGCCCUCAAGAUGGUACACCCCCGCCGAAGCGGCCCUUAAGAUGGUACACCCCUGCUAACUUUCGCGGCUUACGAUAUUCCUGCGCGGAGCAUAGACAAUCAAAGAACCCUGUCUAACUUUCGCGGCUUACGAUAUUCCUGCGCGGAGCAUAGACAUUCUGAACUGACAACGGCUCGGACAUUCUGCGCUGAAAACUACUGAGAUAACUGAGAUAGCUGCGCUGAGAUAGCUGUGCUGACUUCGCUGAGAUAACUGCGCUGAGGUAGCUGCCCUGAGGUGCUGAGAUAACUGCGCUGAUGUGCUGAGUGCUGCACUGCGUUGCAAAAAUCACUAAGCUGCGUUGAGGUGGCUGGGAUAACUGAGAUAGCUGCGCUGAGAUAGCUGAGAUAAAUGUCCUGACUGCGCUGAGAAGACCCAGAUUCCACUUAAGGCUUUCUCCUCCGUAGCGUGGUUGAAUUGCCACUAAAGCUCAUUUUCUGCCGAAGCAGGUUUUCCAGCGUUGUCAGCCAUUAUUGAUGUGCUGUAAAGUUUCAAGAAAAAUACAGAUGGCAACAUAUACCGUACUCCCUCCCUCUUGGUAACAUGUGCAUGAUUCAACAAAACAUGUUAUGUGUAUGCUUGUGGUUGGUGUUCCUACUAUGGUCUCAAAGUAUGUUAUGCAAAUUAUGUUCCAAGCCCUUAGCACAUAUGCAGAAGGUGUGCAGCUUCGUAUACUUAGUCAAUUCAUAUUUCAACCCUAGGCACAUAUGCAGAAGUUGUGCAGCUUCAAAGACAUAAUAUCAAAUUCACAAAUCCCUUCAAGAGAUAAUAUAAAUC